rnacentral:rRNA from 1 species
GGGGGAUAUUGCACAAUGGGGGAAACCCUGAUGCAGCAACGCCGCGUGAAGGAAGAAGGUCUUCGGAUUGUAAACUUUUGUCUUGCGGGACGAAUAAUGACGGUACCGCAGGAGGAAGCCACGGCUAACUACGUGCCAGCAGCCGCGGUAAUACGUAGGUGGCGAGCGUUGUCCGGAAUUACUGGGUGUAAAGGGUGCGUAGGCGGAUUUGCAAGUCAGGUGUGAAAACUAUCGGCUUAACCGGUAGCCUGCACUUGAAACUGUGAGUCUUGAGUGGUGAAGAGGUAAGCGGAAUUCCUAGUGUAGCGGUGAAAUGCGUAGAUAUUAGGAGGAACACCAGUGGCGAAGGCGGCUUACUGGGCACUAACUGACGCUGAGGCACGAAAGCAUGGGGAGCAAAC